rnacentral:rRNA from 1 species
ACGGCAGCACGGGGGCAACCCUGGUGGCGAGUGGCGAACGGGUGAGUAAUACAUCGGAACGUGUCCUGUAGUGGGGGAUAGCCCGGCGAAAGCCGGAUUAAUACCGCAUACGCUCUGCGGAGGAAAGCGGGGGAUCCUUCGGGACCUCGCGCUACAGGGGCGGCCGAUGGCAGAUUAGCUAGUUGGUGGGGUAAAGGCCUACCAAGGCGACGAUCUGUAGCUGGUCUGAGAGGACGACCAGCCACACUGGGACUGAGACACGGCCCAGACUCCUACGGGAGGCAGCAGUGGGGAAUUUUGGACAAUGGGCGCAAGCCUGAUCCAGCAAUGCCGCGUGUGUGAAGAAGGCCUUCGGGUUGUAAAGCACUUUUGUCCGGAAAGAAAACCUCGUGGUUAAUACCCGUGGGGGAUGACGGUACCGGAAGAAUAAGCACCGGCUAACUACGUGCCAGCAGCCGCGGUAAUACGUAGGGUGCAAGCGUUAAUCGGAAUUACUGGGCGUAAAGCGUGCGCAGGCGGUUCGCUAAGACAGAUGUGAAAUCCCCGGGCUUAACCUGGGAACUGCAUUUGUGACUGGCGGGCUAGAGUAUGGCAGAGGGGGGUAGAAUUCCACGUGUAGCAGUGAAAUGCGUAGAGAUGUGGAGGAAUACCGAUGGCGAAGGCAGCCCCCUGGGCCAAUACUGACGCUCAUGCACGAAAGCGUGGGGAGCAAACAGGAUUAGAUACCCUGGUAGUCCACGCCCUAAACGAUGUCAACUAGUUGUCGGGUCUUCAUUGACUUGGUAACGUAGCUAACGCGUGAAGUUGACCGCCUGGGGAGUACGGUCGCAAGAUUAAAACUCAAAGGAAUUGACGGGGACCCGCACAAGCGGUGGAUGAUGUGGAUUAAUUCGAUGCAACGCGAAAAACCUUACCUACCCUUGACAUGUAUGGAACCCUGCUGAGAGGUGGGGGUGCCCGAAAGGGAGCCAUAACACAGGUGCUGCAUGGCUGUCGUCAGCUCGUGUCGUGAGAUG